GACGAACGCUGGCGGCGUGCUUAACACAUGCAAGUCGAACGGAAAGGCCCUGCUUUUGUGGGGUGCUCGAGUGGCGAACGGGUGAGUAACACGUGAGUAACCUGCCCUUGACUUUGGGAUAGCUUCAGGAAACUGGGGCUAAUACCGGAUAGGAGCUCCUGCUGCAUGGUGGGGGUUGGAAAGUUUCGGCGGUUGGGGAUGGACUCGCGGCUUAUCAGCUUGUUGGUGGGGUAGUGGCUUACCAAGGCUUUGACGGGUAGCCGGCCUGAGAGGGUGACCGGCCACAUUGGGACUGAGAUACGGCCCAGACUCCUACGGGAGGCAGCAGUGGGGAAUAUUGCACAAUGGGCGGAAGCCUGAUGCAGCAACGCCGCGUGCGGGAUGACGGCCUUCGGGUUGUAAACCGCUUUCGCCUGUGACGAAGCGUGAGUGACGGUAAUGGGUAAAGAAGCACCGGCUAACUACGU
rnacentral:rRNA from 1 species